CCAGGUUGAUUCUGCCUGACGUAGACGCUAUUCCCUAAGAUUAACCCAUGCAUGUUUUUGACAUUUGAAAAAUGGACUGCUCAGUAAUACUCACUUUAUUUUAUGUACAUUUGAAAUUAACUACGUUAAAGUGUAGAUAAGAUGUGUACAGUAAGAGUGAGACCUAUCAGCUAGUUGUUAAGGUAAUGGCUUAACAAGGCAGUGACGGGUAACGGUAUUACUUUGUAAUAUUCCGGAGAAGGAGCCUGAGAGACGGCUACUAAGUCUAAGGAUUGCAGCAGGGGCGAAACUUGACCUAUGGAUUUUAUCUGAGGCAGUUAUGGGAAGUAAUAUUAUAUUGUUUCAUAUUGUAAAAGUAUAUGAGGUGAUUAAUUGGAGGGCAAAUCAAGUGCCAGCAGCCGCGGUAAUACUUGUUCCAAGAGUGUGUAUGAUGAUUGAUGCAGUUAAAAAGUCCGUAGUUUAUUUUUAAGAAGCAAUAUGAGGUGUACUGUAUAGUUGGGAGAAAGAUGAAAUGUGACGACCCUGACUGGACGAACA
rnacentral:rRNA from 1 species